AUGCCUGACAUUGAGAUGGCCAAACUUUUUGGCAUUCUAGUCGAUGACAGAGAUAAGCAGGAGAGGGGCGAAUCUAGUUUGCCUGCUAAUGCUGAUGAAGAAGUAGAUGGACAGUUGAUGGAACAAGCUGCGGAUGAAGUAGAUGAUGCACAUGAUGAUGAGCUGGUGCAUGUGUAUGACAAAGAAAACCCUGUCAUUGAAGUAGGCAAGUUGUUCCCAAGCAUGAAGGAGUUUAGGAUGUGUUUCAAGACUUAUGCAGUGAAACAUGAGUUUGAUGCCAAGACUGUUUGGACUGAUAGAAAGAAGUUUUAUGCGAGGUGCAGAGGAUUUGAUGGUAGUGUGAAGCCUUGCAAGUGGUACAUAUCUGCUAGACUGCAACCUGAUGGAAGUACUAUCAGGGUUAACCAAAUCCCCAAUCAACAUACUUGUAUUACAAGUUCACAGAGAGUAUCAACCAUGACAUCACAACUUUGGGUUGCAGAAAAGAUCACCCCAAUUUUAGCCAAAACACCAAACACUACUCCCAAGAAACUCAAAGUAGACUUGGAAAAGAUGUACCCCAUUAAACUGAAAUAUACCACAGUGUGGAAGGCAAAACAAAGGGCAAUGAAAAAUAUAUAUGGUGAUUGGGCAAAUACAUUUAGGAUGCUUUACAACUUCAAAGCAGAGGUGGAAAAGAGGUCACCUGGCAGUAUUGUGGAGAUAGAUACAGAGGUAUCAGCCGAAGGUGAAGUCAAGUUCUCCAAGUUUUUUAUGGCUUUGGAGCCUUGCAUCGAUGGGUUCAAAGCAGGGUGCCGUCCAUAUUUGAGCAUAGACUCAUCAUUUUUGACAGGCAAGUGGAAUGGUCAGUUGGCAGCAUGCAAUGCUCUAGAUGGACACAACUGGAUGUUUCCUAUUGCUGUUGGCUUGUUUCAGUCAGAAACAGAGGCUUCAUGGACAUGGUUCAUGAUCCAGUUGAAAAGAUGCCUAGGGCCAGUGUCACCUUUGGUUUUCACACUUUUCAUUUUCAAAACCCCACCUACUCUCGGGUUCCCACUACUCUCUCCCUUGAACUCCAUACUACAUUGUUCGAGGAAUGACAAUUUUGUGAAGGAUUUUUCGUAA
rnacentral:rRNA from 1 species